GAUGAACGCUGGCGGCGUGCUUAACACAUGCAAGUCGAACGGAAAGGCCCAAGCUUGCUUGGGUACUCGAGUGGCGAACGGGUGAGUAACACGUGGGUGAUCUGCCCUGCACUUCGGGAUAAGCCUGGGAAACUGGGUCCAAUACCGGAUAGGACCACAUUUUGGAUGGUGUGGUGGAAAGUUUUUCGGUGUGGGAUGAGCUCGCGGCCUAUCAGCUUGUUGGUGGGGUAAUGGCCUACCAAGGCGUCGACGGGUAGCCGGCCUGAGAGGGUGUACGGCCACAUUGGGACUGAGAUACGGCCCAGACUCCUACGGGAGGCAGCAGUGGGGAAUAUUGCACAAUGGGCGCAAGCCUGAUGCAGCGACGCCGCGUGGGGGAUGACGGCCUUCGGGUUGUAAACUCCUUUCGCUAGGGACGAAGCGCAAGUGACGGUACCUGGAGAAGAAGCACCGGCUAACUACGUG
rnacentral:rRNA from 1 species